UCCUGGUGGCUUAACUGGUAAAGAACCUGCCUGCAAUGCAAGAGAUCCAGGUUUGAUCCCUGGGUCAGGAA
rnacentral:tRNA from 1 species